rnacentral:rRNA from 1 species
ACCAGACUCCUACGGGAGGCAGCAGUGGGGAAUAUUGCACAAUGGGCGAAAGCCUGAUGCAGCGGCGCCGCGUGAGUGAAGAAGUAUUUCGGUAUGUAAAGCUCUCUCAGCAGGGAAGAAAAUGACGGUACCUGACUAAGAAGCCCCGGCUAACUACGUGCCAGCAGCCGCGGUAAUACGUAGGAGGCAAGCGUUAUCCGGAUUUACUGGGUGUAAAGGGAGUGUAGGUGGCAUAACAAGUCAGAAGUGAAAGCCCGGGGCUCAACCGCGGGACUGCUUUUGAAACUGUGUUGCUAGAUUGCAGGAGAGGUAAGUGGAAUUCCUAGUGUAGCGGUGAAAUGCGUAGAUAUUAGGAGGAACACCAGUGGCGAAGGCGGCUUACUGGACUGUAAAUGACGCUGAGGCUCGAAAGCGUGGGGAGCAAACAGGAUUAGAUACCC